rnacentral:misc_RNA from 1 species
UAUCCUUUGCAGACGACUUGAAUAGAACGGAGUGCUGUAAGCAGUAGAGUAGCCUUGUUGCUACGAUCUGCUGAGGCUCAGCUCUUGUUCUACAGAUUUGUGCUUUAGCACUCUCUCCGGUUGCAACGGAGUGGGGCAGCCCUCUGUCCCCCUCGGUGGCUAUCGUAGACAGUGACUUAACAGCAUGAGGACUUGUACGGGUGAAUACUUGGACAGGCUGAUUGAGGAAGUGAAGUGCGACGGUUGGGCGACCAAAAACGCUGAGCUUAGCUGUGGGCUCAAGCCUGACACUAUCUGAAGAAUAUGCAAGAUACAGUGACAUGUGGGCGUUAUAACCACUUGCAAGGGUGCUGGAGGGUCUCCUCGGGCACCCGGUCUUGGGCUGAGGCCUGCUGGCGGUGCAGUUUAUAAGGCGUUGAAAGACCUACUAGUAUCUACGGCCAUAGACUAGAAAUCCUCCCC